ACACACACGCACACACUUCCCCUGUCUCCCAUAAAGUAUAAAGUACAGCUCACCUCACACUGGCAGUUGUGUCAUUAAACUGUCCAGACAUUGAGCUCCCCUAAACUGCCUAACGCGUCUGCAUUUGUUUUAAAUUCCAUACAAUUACUCGUCAUUUUCUCAUUGCUCAAAUUUGGGCUGUCUCUGUGUUCUUGGAUGAGGGAAAUGUGUGUGUGUGUGUGUGAGCGUGAGUGCCUGGAUGUGUUCACGAGACUGCUGCCAGUGAUGAGAACAGUAAUGAUGUUUUCCUCUGUGUCCGAUGCAGACGGACCCUGGAGGGGUAUUGGUGUGUGCCUGUGUUAAUGGGCUCGUUGGCUAGGGGAUGGCUGAGGUUCAGGCCACUGCCACAAAAGAGCGGAGCAUAGCGGAGUCUUUGAUGGACACCAGGUUUAUGUUUCAACAAGUUUUCAGGAUUCGACAAAAACACUUUACAGCUGAGCCUUUAUUAUCCUAGUCUGCUUCCUCCCUAUCCCCUUAUGGUGCGCCUCUCACACACACACACACACACACACACACACACACACACACACACACACACACACCUUUUUUCACCCAAUCUCCCAGACUCUUUUUCCUUUUGUGUCUUUCUCUCUUUCUUUGUCUGUCUCCACCCUGACUCUCCAGUGUGUCAUGUUGUGCUGCUGUCUGUAUGAGGGGCCCCUCUUGUGCUCUCUCUCUCUCUCUCUCUCUCUCUCUCUCUCUCAUUUCCAGCAGAGCUGCACCAACUGCUGUACUUCACAUUUUUAGCAGUCUGGCUCACAUGCUAAUGAAAGUGUCUGUGGAUGGUGGCUAUUUCAGAGAAAGGAAAGAGGGAAUGAAGGAGAGAAACAAGGAAAGAAGAAAGAGGAGAGGAGCUGACAAAGAGAGGCAGCGUUUCAGUUCUAACUGAGUUUGCCAUCUCGCUGUGUCUCUCAGACAGAUGGAUCAUGAAUACGGUCUAGACGGUGAGCGUCUGGCUGAGUCAGGGAUGUCCCGGUGCUCGCAGUGUAGCUUUCUGCAGAGGGGUCCUCUCACCCCCACCUCCACAAAACACACACGAGUGUGUGCACACCCCACCCCCACAGCUCACACACGUGCGCAUACACGUGCAUGCACACACACACACUGCUGAUUCAGAGUGGUGUAGGACAAGGAGGAUUUCCAGACGUGUGAGAAACAUUGAGUGCCUUCAGCCUGGUUUCCCUCAGUGACUCAGUAGGAGCUGCUUCUGGGGAGACUCUGACCUCACUGGGGUGGAGAACACACGCCCCCACAUACACCCCCACACACACACACACCCCCACACACCCACCCACACACAUAUCCAGCCUCACAGGGGUGGAAACAGCUAUACAGGAGCAGAGUAAGCUUUAUCAAGACAUGUCGCUGCUUCUGUUCCUGCUGAUGCCUGGAGAAUUUCUGGCAGCCAGAGUCUUAAUAGCCAACAUAUCAGUUACAGUUUGUGGUGUUUCAGCCCUGUGAAUAGUUUUAGCGAGUGUCAAUAUGGGAUUGUGAGUCUACUAUACCCAAACCUAAUGAUCUACAAUAACAGCUUGCCAAUGUUGGCAGUUGGCUACCAGAAUGUUCCAGAAAAAUUAAAAAAAAAUGAAUGAGCCCGUGUAUGGAUACUGUAUAAAUUCUUUUAAUAUAAAAUAACAUGUAUGUUAAUGAGUUGUUAUACUUUUGUUAUAUAAUAUACAUGUUUAUACUUUUUUUUUGUAUUUUUUAUUUUUAUAUUUAAUUGUCAUGUCAUUCUUGUUUCAAAGACUUUUUGUUAUUGCUUUCUUUCAGAUUCUGUUUUGUUUCUGCAAUAUAAAUAAAAAAAAUUUGUUUGCUAUGCUAGAAAUGAAUGUAAUUUAGUUAAGCUCUCAUUCAGAUAAAUGCAACUAAACAAGCUACACCUCAAAAGUAUUUUAACCGUAGUUAAACUGCAUCCAUGAUUGUCAUAUCUCAUGUUCUGGUAAUUUAGUUAUACAAAUACUAAAGAAAAGAAGUUCUCAGACAAACCUGUAGCUUGGUCUCGCCAGCAUUAUAAAUUGCAAGACUGCUGGAAUAUGUGAUUGAAGCAAUAAGUGUCUCAACUUGAGGAGGAUCAGGUGGUGGACUAUUGCUAUUAAUGCUGCUGUCAGAUUUCAUUCAUGUCGUUCCGUCUAAGCUUCCCAGCUCUUAGAUGCAUGGUUGCAUGAAUGACCAUUUGGUGAUGUGUGCGCUGUGCUAUGUCAAUAGAGCUUGUGUAAUAUGGUCUGACCUCUAAUACGUCUCGGGUGUAGCUGAUAGCAUUUGCUAUGCACAGGCCUCACCACAGUCUCUGCACACAGGUAUGAACACAAGCAGAUCCUGUUGUCAGAGCUCACCUGGUAGAGCAGGUAGAACAAGGUGCUAGCAACACCCAGUUUGUGGGUUCGAUUCCCAGGGAGCAGACAUGCUGUCAUACUGAUAAAUAUGCCGAUAAGAGAGUCUGCUGUAAAUAUAGAACCAGGGCUGAGGAGGGUUAGAGCUGAGCAAUGGGGGAUGUCCACGCUAGGACACCUGUGUUCACUCUGUAUGUCAUGUACUUUAGUAUAUCAGUAUGAUAUGCUGCUGUAUCUCUUAUCUUACAAUGACCACUGCAGCUCAGAGUGACACAGUCAGGUUUAGACAAUUUAUUUACUUAUUUAUUCAUCAUAUUUACUCACAUGAGAUGUCAUUCUUUUUCUAGUUUUUGCUCUACUGAAAUACUUUCAUUUAUGUUAAUAAAUACUUUCGUAUGUUAA